rnacentral:rRNA from 1 species
GACGGACGCUGGCGGCGUGCUUAACACAUGCAAGUCGAACGGAAAGGCCCUGCUUUUGUGGGGUGCUCGAGUGGCGAACGGGUGAGUAACACGUGAGUAACCUGCCCUUGACUUUGGGAUAACUUCAGGAAACUGGGGCUAAUACCGGAUAGGAGCUCCUGCUGCAUGGUGGGGGUUGGAAAGUUUCGGCGGUUGGGGAUGGACUCGCGGCUUAUCAGCUUGUUGGUGGGGUAGUGGCUUACCAAGGCUUUGACGGGUAGCCGGCCUGAGAGGGUGACCGGCCACAUUGGGACUGAGAGACGGCGCAGACUCCUACGGGAGGCAGCAGUGGGGAAUAUUGCACAAUGGGCGGAAGCCUGAUGCAGCAACGCCGCGUGCGGGAUGACGGCCUUCGGGUUGUAAACCGCUUUCGCCUGUGACGAAGCGUGAGUGACGGUAAUGGGUAAAGAAGCACCGGCUAACUACGUG